rnacentral:tRNA from 1 species
GGGGUUGUAGCUCAGUGGUAGAGCACGCGCCUAGUACGUGCAAGGCCCUGGGUUCGAUCCUCAGCACCA